rnacentral:rRNA from 1 species
GAUGAACGCUGGCGGCGUGCUUAACACAUGCAUGUCGAACGAUGAAGCCCAGCUUGCUGGGUGGAUUAGUGGCGAACGGGUGAGUAACACGUGAGUAACCUGCCCUUAACUCUGGGAUAAGCCUGGGAAACUGGGUCUAAUACCGGAUAGGAGCGUCCACCGCAUGGUGGGUGUUGGAAAGAUUUAUCGGUUUUGGAUGGACUCGCGGCCUAUCAGCUUGUUGGUGAGGUAAUGGCUCACCAAGGCGACGACGGGUAGCCGGCCUGAGAGGGUGACCGGCCACACUGGGACUGAGACACGGCCCAGACUCCUACGGGAGGCAGCAGUGGGGAAUAUUGCACAAUGGGCGCAAGCCUGAUGCAGCGACGCCGCGUGAGGGAUGACGGCCUUCGGGUUGUAAACCUCUUUCAGUAGGGAAGAAGCGAAAGUGACGGUACCUGCAGAAGAAGCACCGGCUAACUACGUG